rnacentral:rRNA from 1 species
UACGGAGGGUGCAAGCGUUAUCCGGAUUCACUGGGUUUAAAGGGUGCGUAGGUGGGUCUGUAAGUCAGUGGUGAAAUCUCCGGGCUUAACCCGGAAACUGCCAUUGAUACUAUAGAUCUUGAAUUUUCUGGAGGUCAGCGGAAUAUGUCAUGUAGCGGUGAAAUGCUUAGAUAUGACAUAGAACACCAAUUGCGAAGGCAGCUGGCUACAGGAACAUUGACACUGAGGCACGAAAGCGUGGGGAGCAAACAGG